UCUAUCUUCCCCCAUUCUUCUUCUCCCUCAUCUUUCCUUCUCGCUUCUUCUUCCUUUACGCUAAUUAUAUUUAACAUAAAGUGUUUUAUCGCUCGUUAUUUGUUAUUUAAUAUUAUUCCUCCCUUAAAGAAAAAACAUAAUAAUUAACAUGUUUCUCUCUCUUCUCUUUUCCAGACUGAAAUUGCAAAGCGAUUGAAUGCAAUACUAGCGCAGAUCAUGCCCUUCUUAUCCCAAGAGUUAAAGAAAUGGAUCAUCCGAUGAGGGACAAAAGUUUCCAAUCGAACUGCAAGGAAUGAUGAAGAAAAAAAUUAGGGGUGGAAGAGGAGGAGGAGGAGGAGGAGAAGGAGGAAGAGGAGGAAAGAGGAGGAGGAGGAGGAGAAGCGAUGAGCGUAGCAAUACCUCUUCUUAAGCGUUACCGCCCCCCCUCUCUCUCUCUCUCUCUCUUCCCCCUUCCUUGCCUCCCCCCCUCCCCCCCUCGAUCUGCUCGGUAGGACACCAGUGCCGCGGACACCCUGUAUAUUUGGGAUACCUUAUACGUUUUUUGGACACCCUGUAUAUUUGGGACGCCUUGAUAUUUUGGACGCCCUGUAUAUUUGGGAUGCCUUUAUAUUUUAGACGCCCUGUAUAUUUGGGAUGCCUUUAUAUUUUGGACGCCCUAUAUAAUUAGGACAACCUGUAUAUUUGGGACGCCUUUAUAUUUUGGACGCCCUGUAUAUUCGGGACGCCUUUAUAUUUUGGACGCCCUAUAUAUUUGGGACGGCUUUAUAUUUUGGACACCCUGUAUAUUUGAGACGCCCCGUGUAAUUGGGACACGUUGUAUACAUUUUGUUUGGAUUGAAACUGUUCCAAUAAAAAAAAACAAUCUCUUUGCUGUGGUAUAUACUUGUAUUAUAUAUGUGAGAAAUAUUUAUAUAUAUAUGUCUGCGUUAUACUAUAUAAAUUGAUAAAUAAAUGAAUGAGUUUUA